CACCAGUUGUGAAUUUUACUUUAUGAGAUAUUAAGACCGGAUUCGAGCUCGUCGGAGAUUUUGCAGGAAACACGCAAGACCACCGAGACAUCCGGUACACGAAACGAAUUUGUACGACGCGAAUUCGACGACGAUGACGGGACCUAAGGCACGUCGCGACCUCAUUGCAAUUCCAUUCCUAGAAGCGGCACACACGACGUGUAUACCGAACAAAGUGAACGUACGCGAGAGAGCACGCGAGUGUGUGGCGUAAUUUGGACGCGGGAACGCGUUCACGGAGCUCACGCACACUGAUCUGGAAGGGCGGGGGGAAGGGGGGGGGGUCUCUGGUUAUUUCGUUUUCGCUUAACCCUUGCCUGUGUAUGCGCGAAUCACAAGCAGGAAACGAUGACGCGGCUUGAAUAAUGUACGCACGAGAGAGAGAGAGAGAGAGUAACCGGAAGUUGCGCGAAAGCGACGACAAAUCUUACGGGACAUUAGCAUUAGUAAUGCACGAUGCUGGAAUUGAUUCGAAGAGAAUAUUGUUUCUCCAUAGAAAGAGAAAGGGAGAGAGAAAUUUAUUAAUUAUUUGGAGAUACGCGAUCGUGAAAUCGACGGAGCUUGAUUAUCAUUCAAGCAAAGAGGAUACUAGCGUGGAUAUUACCCGCAUGCGAAGAGUGAAAAAUUCCGAGGCCUUUUGUUGCGUCCCUACUCAAGAAUCACGAACGUCCAACAACGAGAUUCGAGAUGAGCUGAGUGAAUCCAGGUAUCCCGCCGGGACGACUACGCGGCGAGAGGCGAGCAAACGAUCCGAGAACUGAGGACUGCCCCAGGGACGUGGCUUGUUGUCCUGCUUGCCGGUGUACGAGUGGCAGAAGGGUCGUGCGUACUCCAUGCUGGAAUUGACGUCC